GACGAACGCUGGCGGCGUGCUUAACACAUGCAAGUCGAACGGAAAGGCCCUGCUUUUGUGGGGUGCUCGAGUGGCGAACGGGUGAGUAACACGUGAGUAACCUGCCCUUGACUUUGGGAUAACUUCAGGAAACUGGGGCUAAUACCGGAUAGGAGCUCCUGCUGCAUGGUGUGGGUUGGAAAGUUUCGGCGGUUGGGGAUGGACUCGCGGGUUAACAGCUUGUUGGUGGGGUAGUGGCUUUCCAAGGGUUUGACGGGUAGCCGGCCUGAGAGGGUGAACGGGCACAUUGGGACUGAGAUACGGCCCAGAAUGCUACGGGCGGCAGCGGGGGAGAAUAUUGCACAAUGGGCGGAAGCGAGAUGCAGAAACGCCGCGUGCGUGAUGACGGCCUUCGGGUUGUAAACCGCUUUCGCCUGUGACGAAGCGUGAGUGACGGUAAUGGGUAAAGAAGCAACGGCUAACUACGUG
rnacentral:rRNA from 1 species